UCGCUCCUGGGAUUGGGGUUGUGCUACUGUCCAGUGAGCACAUAGUGAGGGCAGUACUGCUAACGCCUAAACAACACACACAUCAACUAAAGCUCUGCUUUAUGUUGGUGCAAUUUUUGAAAAA
ensembl:snRNA